UUACAAAACUGUUCGCUUUACAUAUUUUGAUGGUUUUGACUCUACUUUUGUCUGACAUGGCAGGUGAGUCAGCGUGAGACCCACGUGGGCCCCAAAUGUCAGUACGCCACGUCGUCGGGUUCUUUCCUUCCCCUCCUCUCCCUUUCUCACACUCAUCUCCCUGGCCGGCAGCAGGCCAGCUGUGGGGAGGAGGUCGCGGGACGAGGAGGUCCGACGGCCGGCCGGCGAUGCGGCGGCGGGAGCACGGGGGAGAUCGAGCACGGCGGCGGGCAGAGUGGGGCGACGGCGAGGCGGAGCGGCACCGCACGAAGCCGGCUCAUGUCUGCCAUAGCGUCGACGAACGACGCCGUCGUCGCGAGGAAGGAGGAGGCGGGGGGAAGCGGGCGGCGGUGGAGGAGCUCCGGCGUCGCUUUGACCGCGGGCGCUACGAGCUGCGUCGGCGGCGGUCGGAGGUCGCUGCGGCAAUGGAGGAGCUGCGCGCGUCCUCCUCCUCCUCGAACCUGUCGCCGCCGUCGUCGUCGUCGUCCGCGGGCGCCCCACCCCGCUCCGUGCCGCGGGUUUCGUGCGCCACCGCCUUGCCGGCCCUCUCCGCCUGCCGCCGCCUCGGUGUCGGUUCCCAAAUCAUGGCGCAACUGAGGUUCGCGGUACUGGCUGUUCCGUCGUCAAUAGCGAGCCUAACAAGGUGGCGGCGUGGCCGGUUGGAGGACGAACUCUGGUUGGAGGGCGCCAUCAGAUGCGGGCCGCUUCGGCUCGAUGAGGCGCUCUGGAGCAGAUUAUCUAUCUUGUCGGUAAUCUAGUGGCUGCAUCUGAUUGCAUCGACUGUUCAAUCUGAUUACUUCGUACACAGCCCUUCUCAUAUGGAUCAAUAGGCAACAUGACUACAUGAAUCAACCAUCCCUUUAAAAAAGUACUGCAUGAGUGAAGUCACAUAUCGCUGCUUUCGAGUUGGAGAACAAAUCUCGCCGUCGCCGACGCGUACACCUCCCGGCUCAUGAUCACCCAUGACGUCGACGGCGGCGGAGGAGGAGGAGGCGCCAUUCGAGCUCGCUCAGACGACGCCGUACGGCUGCUUGGUGCGUCGCCAUCGCCAGCCCGCGCACCGCCGACUUCUACGGUCUCUACACCUCGCGCACAGCCUCCAGGACGAGUCCGGCGGCGCUGUGCCACGACGGGGCAACGAGGAUGCGGACGGCGGUGUUUCCUCCGCCGGCCGCCGUACCUCCUCCUCUCCCCACGGCGGCCUCCUCCCCACAGCGCCGCCCGUCGCCGGCCUGAGUAAAGAGAGAGCGCGAGAAAGAUCGAAGAGGGGAAAUAAGAGAGAGGUGAUGAGGUGGCAUCUUACACGUGGGUACUACGAUCAGCCGUCAUGUCAGACAAAACCGGGGUGAAAACCGAGCAUGUUGUGAUUGAGGGACGAUUUUGUAACUUGAUGAUAAGUUGAGGGACCUUCGGUGUACUUUUUCCUAGAACUAAAGGAUAGAACCUGCAUACAUGAUCGUUGUGGGCCAAAAGGCCCAAUAUGUUGGGGUUCUCCAUCGUAUAUAUGGCCCAAUGAAGAGAGUGCAAUGAAUGCUGCUCGAUCUGGCCUUCCGGCCUGUCAGUAGUCAGUACCUGCACUCCUUAAUUUUCAUCAGGUUUCAA